AGACACACGGGCCCUGUGCUGUCUCAGCUGAGAGGUCCCCAUCUACUGACUCACUCGCACCUGGGGCUUCUUGGCUGGUCAUCUGGAAAGGUGAUGGGUCAUGCAUCUUCCUGACGCACUGUGAAGCAGGAAGAAACAGGAACAGUAGCUCUGUGUUACACGUGAGGAGCGAGAAGCACCAACAUGGGUCUUCAUUCUGGAUUUCAUCUUCAAUAUGGAUCCACAGGCUUUAAAAACAUAACGCUUUCUAAAGAGCUCCAGCAAUGGAAACAGCUGUCAGCUCUUCCACCAAAGAUGCUCAAACCAUCACGCUGUCACAUUUAAAUAUAAGAAGCUCCCAAUAUGGAAGAAGACAUCCCUUCUGGUUACGGUCUUGUGUGUGCUAGCUUUCUUUUACUAAUGUCCACUUAAAAAAUAUACAUCAUAACUUGAGCAUAGCGGCACAUGCUUUUAAUCCCAGCACCUGGGAGGCAGAGGCAGGCGGGUCCCUGAGAUUUGAGGCCAACUCUGCCAACUCUACAGAGUGAGUUCCAGGACAGCAGGGGCUAUAUAGUUAAACCAUCCAUGUUUUGAAGAAACAAGCAAGUGUAUAUUAUUUACUUAUAUUACAUAUUACAUUGUGCAUAUAUAGUAUAUAUGCAUCAUAAUAAUCUGUCCAUCCCAUACAUUGAAUGAAUUGAUAUUUCAAUCUCCCAAAAAUCUGG
rnacentral:lncRNA from 1 species